UCCGCCAGAGAACUACGAGCACAAACGCUUGAAACUCUAAGGACUUGGCGGUGCCCUAAACCCACCUAGAGGAGCCUGUUCUACAACCGAUAACCCACGAUAUACCCAACCACCUCUUGCCAGAGCAGCCUACAUACCGCCGUCGCCAGUCCACCUCCCCUGAGAGUUUAGCAGUGGACACAACAGCCCCAACAUCGCUAACAAGACAGGUCAAGGUAUAGCCCAUGAGGUGGAAGAAAUGGGCUACAUUUUCUAACAUAGAAAACUUCACGGAAGCGGACGUGAAAUCGUCUGCAGAAGGUGGAUUUAGCAGUAA
rnacentral:rRNA from 1 species